rnacentral:tRNA from 1 species
GCUGGUGGCGCAGAGGUUAUGCAUUUGGUUGCUAACCAAAAGGUCAGCAGUUUGAAUCCACCAGCU